rnacentral:lncRNA from 1 species
GGAGAACCGGGAAGCAAUGAUUGGGCAAAUCUGGGAAGACUUCCACAGAGGAGGUGGCAAGCCGGAACAAGGCACACAAAUGCCAGCUGAGUGGAAGGUCAACCAGUCCAACUUCUCAUGUUUCAGAAGAGGAAAGCAAGGUCUGGAGAGGGAACGUGGCUUGCCCAAGAUAUGUUUCAAACUUUGAUGAAAAGCAGGGAAGUUUGGGAAGAAAAUCCAAGACUUCUCUGGAGAGAGACCAGGAAACAGGCUCAGAGAGAAGAAGGGAAUUAUGUACCUCGGUUUAGAGCCAAAGUGUCCUGCCUGCAUUCCAGCUGUUUCCAUCCAUGUCCAUGUCAACUGGCAUCUGGAACUACUCGUAGCAGCAUCCACUCAAUGUGAGUUGACUAAAUGGAGGAAAAUCUACUAUGGUGCUUGGAAAAACUGGGACUCUCAUGAUUUAGGAUAUAAAGAUUUGUCGUCUGUCUGAAUGGAAGAAAGAACAGGGCAGUGCUGUGGGGACACUAGGACGUCCUAAGGAAACACACUCACUAAUUUAGGGUAAUCAAUCAGUCACCAGGGUGGAAUCGAUAAAUGGCAACAUUUUCCUCUCUGAUGUUUUUUAACUGCAUUAAAAGGCAUGGAGUUUUAAUUUCACAUGCAUUUGUUUCUGGGUCUUGGGUCGUUUUUUUUUUUUUUCUUCUUCCUCAAAGCAGAUAAAUGAGGUUCCAAACUUCAGAUAAUAAGGCUUAACAGUGAGGCG